ensembl:lncRNA
GAUUGGGGGAAGAUUAUAAACAAUACAAUCCGUAGUGUGAAAGUGAGAGUCGCUCCGUUGUGUCCGACUCUUUGUGACCCCGUGGACUACACAGUACAUGGGAUUCUCUAGGCCAGAAUACUGGAGUGGGUAGUCUUUCCCUUCUCCCGGGGAUCUUCCCAACCCAGGGAUUGAACCCAGGUCUCCCGCAUUGAAGGAGGAUUCUUUACCAGCUGAGCCACAAGAGAAGCCCCAAUCGGUAGUGUAUAUCUAGCCAAAACCAAAUUUUUAGGUUUUUCUUCACUUUUUGCUAGGUAUUCCAAGACUUGUAAUUAUUGCCAACAGUUUUUGUACUUGGUGUUGAUCUUCCUCCUCCUGGCAGGCAAGAACCUAAUGCAUACUGGUGACCUGGGUCCCAGUUGUCCCUCAGUCAGGCCACAUUACUCUUUGCUUGCUUCCCUCUGAGGCCAUUUAUGGCCCUCUUCCCUGGAGCCCUGGCACUUGCGGAUAAUGUCGCUGAUGGGAGCCACCUGAAAUCUCGCGAGGGUGGGCGAGACCCCCUUCCCUCCUAAUGACGAGAGCCAGAUGGGCCAGAAAGGUGAGGAGUAGUGAGCAUGCGCUCUCCAACCAAAGAAAGACGCUGGAGAGGAAGGAGGGCCUGGCAGAGGACGAGGGGCCCGAGAGCAGGCGCCGUGGUCACCAGGUGAUCUGGACGGAGAGCAGAUAAGAUAGCAGUCCUGGAGGAAGAAAGCCCCCCCUCUCCCCUUUUACCUCGUGACUCGAGUGAGCCCGCAGCACCCCAAAGCUCCCUUGCCCUAUCACAUGAGGAUACAAGGAGAAGUCCACACCUGGAAGAGGGCUCUCACCCGACUAGGAUGGCACCCUGAUCUGAGACAUGUAUCCUCCAAAACCGGAACAGAUUGCAACUUCCAAGAGUUGUGUGUAUAGACAGGGGAGAGAUGGUAGGACUCACCUUCCUCCUCACACGGCUUGGUGCAGCACAAGUCUCCAACCUGGGUUCAAGUCCUGGUCCCCUUCCUGGGCAACCUUGCCCUUCACCCACAGCCCAGGGAUGCAGCUCCAAGGACAGAGGCAGACCCAAUUUCUUCCCUUGCUGCCAGGGGGGAUAGAGAAGCCUUUCCUCCCUCCCUCCCUCACGUGCCCCAAGAGCUGGCGCCAGAAGGGAACUCAGAGCCUGGAAAGAUUUCUCUGGGACAAAAGCAGGAAGACACCAGAGAACGGACUUCUGACCACUAGGGGCCUCUGGCGGGGAGCUCUGUCUGCAACUCAUCAAGCAGCCUUUUGUUACCUGCUGCUGGGGGAUUAUUGACCCAAUUGUCAAUUCUGAAAGGUUAUCGGUUUAACAUUCCUGCCUGGCCUGGGGACUGUGUUUUUCUGUGUUUCAUUCCUACCACCAGACGUGAGAUUUGCAUGUGUGAGUCCAUUAGGGGACAGUGUUUACUUCUUCGAUUUAUGUGGGGCCUUCUCUUUGAAAAGCUAAAUCCAGGCUUGCAAAUCAUGCCAGUAGGUAACUGUCAGUGUCCUGACAACAAAGUCUAUUGCUUUUGCCCUGAAAAGGAAGAAGAAUUUUGAGAGUAGGCUUUUCCAUGGCUUCUGGUGACCAAACUGCUCCCUACCCUCCCACCUCCCACAAUUAUUCACUGAUGGAAAUACUCACCUGUCAGGCUUUUUACUGAACUAUUUUAAGUAUUUAGUUGCAUGACUACUUGCAUCCCUUCCAGAAGUAACCAUGCUCCACACCCACCCUGUACUACUGAAUCAGACGGCAAGCAAAUAAGAUGCACUGGGGCUUCAGAGAAUCUCCUCUGGUGGAGGGGGAGGUGGCUGCCUUGAACACCUGGGUCCACAGCCAGCUUAAAGAUAACAGAAACAGGAGUUGCUGCAGACAUACUGGCAAGAUGGAUAGGCAUCCCCAGAAAUUCAAGCAGCUAUUCUCAGGUGGCAGAUGUAGCAUCAGAGAACCACUGUGUGUUAAUACCCUUCUCUUUCCCAUUUUUCUGUUUGCUCACCUAUUUGGAGGGAGGCAGUGCUUUUGUUUUAAAGACUUUUUUUUUUAAUGUGGACCAUUUUAAAAGUCUUUAUUAAAUUUGCUACAGUACUGCUU